GAGAAAUUUCAUCUGAUAAAAGUUAAUAUUUUAACUUAUUUGUUGACUCGUAGUACUGUAUGCAUAGAAGUGCUUUGUCCCUCUUUGUAGUUCAGUCUAGCGCAGAUGUUCUUAUUGCUUUGGGGUCACCUGAUAUAUAUCAGUUAAGCGCCAAAGAUGAAUAAGCCAGAAUUUAGCCCCAAGGUAUGUGGCUGUUUGGCUAAACCGGUGCUAAGAGGGUCGGAUCAUUUUUUUGUGUAUGUGUGUGUGUGUGUGUGUGUGUGUCGGAGAUUAUUUCCCGCCAAUUUCACGCUAGUAUGGUCACGUGACGUAAGGGUCGUUUGGGAGGAGAGUGGACGACAGCCUAAUUAUGAUGGAUCGAUAUUUCGCCGUCGGUGGCGUCAACUAAUGAGACCGUGAUGGCAUAUAAAUAAACAAUGAAUUUUUGUCCGCUUUAAUUGGCUGCAAAAACAAUGCAGAUGAUUGGAGAUAGCC
rnacentral:lncRNA from 1 species